GGGUUGAGUCCCAGCACACCUCAAGAGCAAAUGGAGUCUGCUUUGAUAGUUCCCAUGGUUCAGGAGGAUGAUAAUGAUUGAAGAGAAGGGGAGCUGCGGUUGACUAUUGAGGCACUCCAGGAAACAGUGGAAGAAGGUCUGACAAGGUGCUCUUGUAAGAAACCCUUUGAAAAUGAUGAAGGAGGAGGAGUGUGGAGAAGACAAAGCGUCAAAACGGCAGAGUUUGAGUUGAGCCAUUAAAAGUCAAAGAAAGUGUUUGUGUGUUUUGAGGGCAUGGAGAAAAGGAUGGACACCAGUAGAUGUCAUUGGACUGGAGAUGGAGGUGAAUGGAGCAGCUGCCCCAGGUUACUGCUGCGUGUGAUGUCUAAUGUAAUUUGCUCACAUGAGGGGCUUGAAGCUCCAGAAUUCAGGAGGACUUUUUUGACAAAACCUGUAACUUCAGCAAGUCCCUAUCCCGUUUCUGACUUCAGAGCAAAGGGCAGGAGUCACUAUAGGUAUUGCGGCCACCUACACAUGAGAGCGGAUUAAACACAAAAACCUGUUUGAGAGGAACAUUUUGAAGUGCUUUUUGUUUCCAAGUUGCUGAAAGAGAUCCAUUUUUUUACUUUUUUUUUUUUUUGAAAAAAAAAUCAGAUAUUUUUAUUUAAAAAGAAAAUGAAAGUCAUGGGCAUUUUUUGAAAACCUGAAACCAAACAGACUAGAUUGAACAAAAGGGAGAGAGAGUAGAAGGGAAAUGAACAGUCACGGCAAGCAAAGACUAAAUAAGU